rnacentral:lncRNA from 1 species
UGCUGAUCUUAUAGUACCUAUUAUAGUAUCUGAAACCUAUAGUAUCUAUUCCUCUUUUUCAGUCCUAGUUAAUCUCUUCCUUUUAACUACAAGACUGCAGUCUAUCAAAUAGAAAGCAAGUAAAGAGAGAUUCUCUAAACAUGAGUUAAAUUAAAACAAAUUGUUUUGGGUUUAGUAGCAAAGCAAUUCCCAUCCACUGCAAGGGUGAAUUUAAGAAGCAUAAGUCAGUUAAAAUCAGCACCUUCUGAAAAGAUUUAUUCUUCUCAUGUACUUUCAGAGUUUUGUAAGGAAUAGCAGUCCAUUAUAUCAACGGAGCAAUCCUGUAAUCCUUGUGAAGAAGCAAUUAAUCUCCAGUGAUGUAAGUGCAGGGCUCAGAGGAAGGAUCCAUGGUGUUUCCAACAAACAGUUCUCAUUACAGCUUCCACUUUUGGAGGCAGCAUCUGGUUCUGGAUUGCACUCUGUUCAGCCUGCCAAAUUAAUACAAUGAACACUUCCAUUGCUGACAGCUGACAUGGUCCUGGCACAAGUAGCGCAGGUGAGUGGA